rnacentral:lncRNA from 1 species
CUCGCCGCCGCCGCCGCCGCCGCCGCGACACGGCGCGCAUAUGGUCGUCGUUGUCGUCGUCGUCGCUGGAGAAGACGAAGAAAGAUAGUAGACCUGAGCUGGGGGGGCGAUCGACGAUGGAGUUCGUGGCGCACGCGGCGGCGCCGGACAGCCCGCACUCGGACAGCGGCGGAGGAGGAGGGGGAAUGGCGACGGGGGCGACGUCGGCGUCGGCGUCGGCGUCGGCGGCGGGGGCGUCGCCGAGCAGGUACGAGUCGCAGAAGCGGCGGGACUGGAACACGUUCGGGCAGUACCUCCGCAACCACCGGCCGCCGCUGUCGCUGGCGCGGUGCAGCGGCGCGCACGUCCUGGAGUUCCUCCGCUACCUGGACCAGUUCGGCAAGACCAAGGUGCACGCGCCGGCGUGCCCCUUCUUCGGCCACCCGGCGCCGCCGGCGCCGUGCCCGUGCCCGCUCCGCCAGGCGUGGGGCAGCCUCGACGCCCUCGUCGGCCGCCUCCGCGCCGCCUACGAGGAGAACGGCGGCCGCCCCGAGAACAACCCCUUCGGCGCCCGCGCCGUCCGCCUCUACCUCCGCGAGGUCCGCGAGCACCAGGCGCGCGCCCGCGGCGUCAGCUACGAGAAGAAGAAGCGCAAGAAGCCACCCCACCCCUCCUCCGCCGCCGCCGCGCACGACGACGCCGCCAACGGCGCCCUCCACCACCACCACCACAUGCCGCCGCCUCCUCCCGGCGCCGCCGCCUGAGCCGAGCCGAGCUUGCUCCAAGAUCGCCGGAAAACGAGCUGCUAGCCUCCUACUACGCAUGCACUAGUUACUCCACUCCACUCCACUCCACUAUGAUCCCUAGCUAGGCUGCUCUUGCUACUAGCAAAACUACGGAUUAAUCUCCAUGCUUGCUACUGCUGCUGCUGCUGCUACUGCAUCUAAUUAAUUAGGUUGAUUAUUUCCU